AUUGAACGCUGGCGGAAUGCUUUACACAUGCAAGUCGAGCGGCAGCGCGGGGGCAACCCUGGCGGCGAGCGGCGAACGGGUGAGUAACAUAUCGGAACGUACCCCGUCGUGGGGGAUAACACAGCGAAAGCUGUGCUAAUACCGCAUACGACCUGAGGGUGAAAGCGGGGGAUCGCAAGACCUCGCGCGAUGGGAGCGGCCGAUAUCGGAUUAGCUUGUUGGUGAGGUAAAGGCUCACCAAGGCGACGAUCCGUAGCUGGUCUGAGAGGACGACCAGCCACACUGGAACUGAGACACGGUCCAGACUCCUACGGGAGGCAGCAGUGGGGAAUUUUGGACAAUGGGGGCAACCCUGAUCCAGCCAUUCCGCGUGAGUGAAGAAGGCCUUCGGGUUGUAAAGCGUCUUUCUAG
rnacentral:rRNA from 1 species